rnacentral:rRNA from 1 species
CGNGACGGGUGAGUAACACGUGGGUAACCUACCUAUAAGACUGGGAUAACUUCGGGAAACCGGAGCUAAUACCGGAUAAUAUUUCGAACCGCAUGGUUCGAUAGUGAAAGGUGGUUUUGCUAUCACUUAUAGAUGGACCCGCGCCGUAUUAGCUAGUUGGUAAGGUAACGGCUUACCAAGGCGACGAUACGUAGCCGACCUGAGAGGGUGAUCGGCCACACUGGAACUGAGACACGGUCCAGACUCCUACGGGAGGCAGCAGCCG